rnacentral:rRNA from 1 species
GGCUCAGAGCGAACGCUGGCGGCAGGCUUAACACAUGCAAGUCGAGCGGGCCCUUCGGGGUCAGCGGCAGACGGGUGAGUAACACGUGGGAACGUACCCUUUGGUUCGGAAUAACGCUGGGAAACUAGCGCUAAUACCGGAUACGCCCUUUUGGGGAAAGGCUUGCUGCCGAAGGAUCGGCCCGCGUCUGAUUAGCUAGUUGGUGGGGUAAUGGCCUACCAAGGCGACGAUCAGUAGCUGGUCUGAGAGGAUGAUCAGCCACACUGGGACUGAGACACGGCCCAGACUCCUACGGGAGGCAGCAGUGGGGAAUAUUGGACAAUGGGCGCAAGCCUGAUCCAGCCAUGCCGCGUGAGUGAUGAAGGCCUUAGGGUUGUAAAGCUCUUUUGUCCGGGACGAUAAUGACGGUACCGGAAGAAUAAGCCCCGGCUAACUUCGUGCCAGCAGCCGCGGUAAUACGAAGGGGGCUAGCGUUGCUCGGAAUCACUGGGCGUAAAGGGCGCGUAGGCGGCCAUUCAAGUCGGGGGUGAAAGCCUGUGGCUCAACCACAGAAUUGCCUUCGAUACUGUUUGGCUUGAGUUUGGUAGAGGUUGGUGGAACUGCGAGUGUAGAGGUGAAAUUCGUAGAUAUUCGCAAGAACACCAGUGGCGAAGGCGGCCAACUGGACCAACACUGACGCUGAGGCGCGAAAAG